UACACACCGCCCGUCACACCAUGAGAGUUGGAGAUACCCGAAGCCUAUGAGCUAACUUUUAGAGGCAGUAGUCGAAGGUAGAAUCAAUGAUUGGGGUGAAGUCGUAACAAGGUAGC
rnacentral:rRNA from 1 species